rnacentral:tRNA from 1 species
GGUUAGUGGCUCAGUGGUAGAGUGCUCGCCUCGAACAUGAUCCCUGGGUUGGAUCCCCAGCACCA